rfam:Dorea sp. CAG:105 genomic scaffold, scf255
UGAUAUCAGGGUUCCAAAGUCAUACGACCACAUGAGCUUGCUCAUAAGUGGAUGUAUGACUUUGGAACCCGCCCCGACAUGAGCAUAAAAGCGGGAUUUUAAUCCUGCGAUAUGCGAAUGGUGGGGAUAGAUUGUGAGAGUGCGUAGCACGGAGCAAUCUAUAGAUAUCA